CCUACGGGUGGCAGCAGUGGGGGAUAUUGCACAAUGGGCGAAAGCCUGAUGCAGCGACGCCGCGUGAGGGAAGACGGUCUUCGGAUUUUAAACCUCUGUCUUUGGGGAAGAAAAUGACGGUACUCAAAGAGGUAGGUCUGGAUAACUUCGUGCCAGCAGCCGCGGUAACACGUAGGGAGCAAGCUUUGUCCGGAAUUACCGGGUGUAAGGGGAGCGUAGGCGGGAUGGCAAGUAGAAUGUUAAGUCCAUCGGCUCAACCGGUGGCUGCGUGCUAAACUGCCGUUCUUGAGUGAAUUAGAGGCAGGCGGAAUUCCUAGUGUAGCGGUGAAAUGCGUAGAUAUUAGGAGGAACACCAGUGGCGAAGGCGGCCUGCUGGGCUUUAACUGACGCUGAGGCUCGAAAGCGUGGGGAGCAAACAGGAUUAGAUACCCCUGUAGUC
rnacentral:rRNA from 1 species